rnacentral:rRNA from 1 species
UAACUGCGCGUCAUAGUGUGAACUGCAGGACACAUUUGAACAUCGACAUUUCGAACGCACAUUGCGGUCCGUGGAGAAACAUCCAGGACCACUCCUGUCUGAGGGCCGGCUGUAUAAAAACAUAUACCACACUGUUCGCUCGUUAUGCGAGCGUACAAUUGACGGUUCCGCGUUAAAAGUCUUUCGCCCGCAAAACGGUGUGUAAAGAUAUAAGACGAAGGUCCGUUUAAAAAUUUCAAUAAACGAAAAAAAGAUCGAACGAAAAUACGCAUCGUUCGAGCGCGCACGAGCCGCCGCAUCGCCGUGCGACCCUUCGGUGUGCGUUCCAUAUUGCAAUACAAUUUAUAUAUGAAUUGUAUCGUGAGUAUUGAGAGCGCGCUAAGAGGGCGAGCACAGUCAUGGUGAUUGUGUGUGUGCGUCGUCGUGUGCGCUUUUGGACGCGUACGCUUCGUGAGAUCUUAAAAAUUCAAGUAGGCGGACUCGACGUCCGAAGUGCGUUUCGACGCCGUCGUCGCAUAUAUUAAUCGCGUCCGUUUGUGAUUUUGUGAUCGCGUCGGUGUUGCGAUUGUGUGCGAUUGUACGGCGUCGUAUCGCUGACGGAUAUCGCGUCUGCCUCGAUUUUUUAUCGUUGGCCUCAGAUCAGGGAGGAUCACCCGCCGAAUUUAA